rnacentral:rRNA from 1 species
UACGUAGGGACCGAGCGUUGUCCGGAAUCAUUGGGCGUAAAGAGCGUGUAGGCGGCCACUUAAGUCCUGCGUGAAAUCUUGCGGCUCAACCGCAAGCGGUCGUGGGAAACUGGGUGGCUAGAGUGCGGGAGAGGAGAGUGGAAUUCCCAGUGUAGCGGUGAAAUGCGUAGAUAUUAGGAAGAACACCAGUGGCGAAGGCGGCUCACUGGUCCGGUACUGACGCUGAGGUGCGAAAGCGUGGGGAGCAAACAGG